rnacentral:lncRNA from 1 species
CAAUAUAUAUUGACAAUUUUUUUUUUUUACUAAAUAUUCAUUAAAUACCUGCUUCACAUUUAUAUCUAUACCUAUCUAUAUUUAUAUUUAUACCUAUACAUUAAUUCUCAAAAAAAUACCAUGUGGCUGUGUUUCCUUUACUAUUGGACUUCACAUUACGAAACCAACCCUUCGCUUUCUCUCCAACUCUCCAACUAUAAUGUCUAAUUAAUGGUACGUCCACCCAUCUUAAUCCAACUAUAUUCGCCUUCCUUCUGUAUAAUGUCUAAUUAAAGGUCCAUCCAUCUUAACCCAACCAUUUGCCUUCCCUCUGUAUAUAACAUCUAAUUAAUGAUCCACCUACCUUAACCCAAGUCUUCGCCUUCCCUCCGCACAUAAUAUCUAAUUAGUAGUCCACCUAGCUUAACCCUAAUUUGAACUGUAAAUCGUAGAAACAAAUGCAAAAUCCCC